UCUCCCGUGAGGGAGCAGUCUCGCCUGGCCAUAUAGGCAACAGGCAACGGGGGUUGCGUUCGUUACCCCACUGAAGGGAACAGUUCAAACCACGAACUGACGACGACCAUGCAUCACCUGCUCUACACCCUCGAAGGCUCCGUCCCUUUCGGGUCGGAUGCAGUAGAGUGUCUAACCUUGGUAAGGUUCUUCGUUUGUUUACGAAUUGAGCCACAUAAUCCACUGCUUGUGCGAGUCCCCGUCUAUUCCUUUGAGUUUUAAUCUUGCGAUCGUACUACCCAGGCGGCUCGCUUACCGCGUUAGCUUAGUCUCACAGAGGGUCGAUACUCCGUAAAACGAGCGAGCAACGUUGAGGGCCAGGACUAC
rnacentral:misc_RNA from 1 species